UUUGAAAAUUUAAUUGAAAAAAUCAUAUAUUGAAAGUUUUGGGAUUAAUGGUUUUUUUUUUUGCACAAAAUAUACAAAUGUUAAUAAAAUCAUGGAGAAAUUACAUGUUUACCACUUUCAUGCUACCACUUUUCAUUUUUACCACCAUUAAAGAGAUAUUUUCAAAAAUACUUUCUUCAUCGAAUGACAAAAGACUUUUAUGCACUUGUUCUUUAUAUAUAUAAUAAAUAAAUAUUUAAAUAAAUAAAAAUCUAAAAAAAUAAAAAAUAGUUUUUUUAAUUUUUUUUAAUUAUACUAUUUCUAAAUUCAAACCCUAAACCCUAAAACUCAACUAUAAACUCUAAACCAUCAAUUUUAAACCUUUUUUUUUUAAAUACGAACCCUAAAUCAUCAAUCCUAAACCAUAUUUUUUUUUGAAUUACGAACCCUAAACCCUGAAAAAUCAACUCUAAACUCUAAACCAUCGAUCUUAAACCCUAUUUUUUUUUUAAAUACGAACCCUAAACCCUAAACCAUCAAUCCUAAGCCCUAUUUUUUUUAAAAUACGAACCCUAAACCCUGAAACAUCAACUCUAAACCCUAAACCCCGAAACAUCAACUGUAGACCCUAAACCCUAAACCUUCAAUUCUAAACCCUAAACCCUAAACCUUCAACUCUAAACACUAAAACAUAACUCUAAACCCUAAACGCUAAACUUAAACUCUAAACCCUAAACCAUCAACACUAAACCCUAAACAAUCAACACUAAACCCUAAACCCUAAAAAAAUAAACUUUAAACCCUAAACCCUAAAAAAUUAACCCUAAACCCUAACACAUCAACUCGAAACCCUAACUAAACAUUCAACUCUAAACCCUAAACCCUAAACCCUAAACCCUAAAACC
rnacentral:lncRNA from 1 species